rnacentral:miRNA from 8 species
CAUGGUUGUGCCAAGCACUUUG